GGAUGAGAAUCAUUGUCAAUGGGCGCAAGCCUGAACGUGCGACGCCGCGUGUGGGAUGAAGGCCUUCGGGUUGUAAACCACUGUCAGGGGCUAACAAUAAGCGUGUAACCCACGUGAUGAGUUAAACCCCAGAGGAAGUGACAGCUAACUACGUGCCAGCAGCUGCGGUAAUACGUAGGUCGCGAACGUUAUUCGGAUUUACUGGGCUUAAAGGGCGUGUAGGCGGCAGCGUAAGUCAAGGUUGAAAUCC
rnacentral:rRNA from 1 species